CCUACGGGGGGCUGCAGUGGGGAAUCUUGCGCAAUGGACGAAAGUCUGACGCAGCCACGCCGCGUGAGUGAAGAAGGCCUUCGGGUUGUAAAGCUCUGUCGAGCGGGACGAAAACACUUGGGGUGAAUAGCCCCAGGAAUUGACGGUACCGCUAAAGGAAGCACCGGCUAACUCCGUGCCAGCAGCCGCGGUAAUACGGAGGGUGCAAGCGUUGCUCGGAAUCAUUGGGCGUAAAGGGUAGGUAGGUGGUCUCAUUUGUCUGGGGUGAAAGCCUU
rnacentral:rRNA from 1 species